UUUGAUGUUCCAAACAGGGCUGCACAGGGUGACAUGGCCACAGGUUACUCACUGAAGCUAAGCAGGGCUGAGCCUGGUCAGUACCUGGAUGGGAGACCACUAGGGAACACUAGGUUGCUGUUGGAA
rnacentral:rRNA from 1 species